GACGAACGCUGGCGGCGUGCUUAACACAUGCAAGUCGAACGGAAAGGCCCUGCUUUUGUGGGGUGCUCGAGUGGCGAACGGGUGAGUAACACGUGAGUAACCUGCCCUUGACUUUGGGAUAACUUCAGGAAACUGGGGCUAAUACCGGAUAGGAGCUCCUGCUGCAUGGUGGGGGUUGGAAAGUUUCGGCGGUUGGGGAUGGACUCGCGGCUUAUCAGCUUGUUGGUGGGGUAGUGGCUUACCAAGGCUUUGACGGUUAGCCGGCCUGAGAGGGUGACCGGCCACAUUGGGACUGAGAUACGGCCCAGACUCCUACGGGAGGCAGCAGUGGGGAAUAUUACACAAUGGGCGGAAGCCUGAUGCAGCAACGCCGCGUGCGGGAUGACGGCCUUCGGGUUGUAAACCGCUUUCGCCUGUGACGAAGCGUGAGUGACGGUAAUGGGUAAAGAAGCACCGGCUAACUACGUG
rnacentral:rRNA from 1 species